AUGGUACUUUUUGUGGAUCGGGUGAAGUGUAAUGAGGCCGAGAAGGCUAAGGCAUUAUUUAGGGGGCUGAAUUCAAAGUACAGAGAAGUGAUUGGAGCAAAUUCCCCUAUAGAUUACCUAACAAUGGUUAGGCAGGCUAGAGGGAUGGAGUUGGAUGUCCACCUCACAGAAGCCCGGGAGAAUCGCACUAGAGGUUCUAGUGGCCCGGGUGGUGACUCGAAGAGGAGUUACCGUGGUGGAAGUGGGUUUGCCAUCGACCUUCUUUCACGAAGUUCAAGGGAAGCAUCGUGCACAACAAACAACUAA
rnacentral:rRNA from 1 species